GGCCAAUGCGGUUGUUGGUAUCGCAUUGGCCUGGAAUGCCGAAGACGCUGGUUCGAAUCCAGCCGGUGCCC
rnacentral:tRNA from 1 species